AUGAGCCACGGCGUCGCGGCGAGGAAGCGGUUCGGCGGCGUCAGCUUCGCGCUCGGCUGCGGCUGCAAGGACCCCAAGGCCGUGGCCGUCGCGGCGGCGGCGGUGGCCGCCUCGUCGCCGCGCUCCGGCACGGAGGCGUCCACGGCGACCACCGCCACGUCGCGGAGGGCCAGCAGGACGCACCCGUCGGCGUCCACGUCCACGGGCACGCUCACCGUGCCCUCCGCCUCCUCCUCCUUCCUGUGGGAGGAUGCCGACGCCGACGCCGACGAGGUCGAGUGCAAGCGGGCGAGCUCCGCGACCACGCCCAGCUUCUCCGGCCUGCUGCGCGAGCUCAGCGAGCUCGAGCGGAGCAUCAAGUCGUGCGCGCGGACCAAGAGCCCCCCAAGAAAUCACUUCUCGCCACCGCCGCCGCCUCCUCCUCCUCCACCGCCGCCCCCGCCGUUGCCGUCGCGGCCCGUGCAGCGUCGAGCUGUGCGCGGCGACGACAAGCCCAGCGUCCAAGAAGGCCACGGAGACUUCUCGCCGCCGCGGCCGCGCCCGCUCCCGCCGCCAUCCUUGCAGGUCCCAACGCAGCAGCAUCGGAGGGUGAAGAGCGUUGACAAAGCCAGCAAGCCAGAAGGAGACGCGCACUUCACGCCACAGCCACCUCGGCCGCUGCCCCCGCCGCCGCCGCUGGAGCCGCUCCGGAGCGCGAAGACCGAGGAGGAUAAUAAGUCCAAGAGCAAAGAAGACGAGAAGCGCUCGCCGACACCGCAGCCGGCGCCGAAGCACCGGAAAGCGAUGAGCUGCGACAACAGCAACGGCUUCGGCGGCGGCAGCGGAAGGCUGGACGGGAGCGUGGCGGUGGUGAAGCAGUCGGAGGACCCGCUGGGCGACUUCCGGCGGUCGAUGCUGAACAUGAUCGUGGAGAACGGGAUCGUGACGGGGGACGAGCUCCGCGAGCUCCUCCGGCGCUUCCUGGCGCUGAACGCGCCCCGCCACCACGACGCCAUCCUCCGGGCCUUCGCGGAGAUCUGGGACGAGGUGUUCGCCCCCGCCGCCGCCGCCACGGCCGAGCGCGAGCCGAGGCCGACGGCGCCCCGCCGCCGGCAACCUCUGCCCCUGCCGGCGUGGCGCGUGUAG
rnacentral:rRNA from 1 species